GACUGGUAGCUCAGUUGGAAGAGUGCUACUGUACUAUGCUGUUGGCCACAGGUUCAAUCCCUGUCUAGUACA